rnacentral:sRNA from 1 species
CUAUCCUCUAUGUUUUUCGACUUGGGCUAGAGUUUGCGCAGAGCAGGCGAGCACAAAUUUAAAUAAAAUGUUUCUUUUCUCUUUUGUAAAUUGUAUUGUCCAAAUAAAUAAGUGAAUUGACAAAUGAAAGCAUAUUUCACAUUUGUACCUAUUUAAAAUUGAUUUAAAUAAAUCAUGAUCGUUCAUGCUCGCCACAUUUUAGUCAAGCGUUGCCACUAAGUUGAAAAAACCUCGCCACGCCAUAUUGCGGUAAAUUUUCAAAAGGGGAAACGAAACGAAUAUGAUGUAAAGGGAAGAGAUCAAAUAGCUGCGUCUUCGUGAAAACAGGAAAAUGAGCUGACAAGGCAAUGGGUUUUCUGUUACUUAAAUAGCUACAUAAUAAUGUAUUUAAUUAUGGAAUAUUAAUGAUUAAGUGGUACACAAUAAAGUGAACAGUGUCCAGGCCACAAAUUUGAAAA